AUGGACCUCCGCCGCUUCGGCAUCGCGCUUCGCACCCGCUGGUGUUGGCUGCAGCGCACAGACCCCUCUCGUCCCUGGGCUUGCCUACAGCUCCCCAACGACCCAGACUGCCGAGCAGUCCUUCGCGCCUCGACAUCCUGGGCCAUCGGGAAUGGCAGAUCCUGCCUAUUUUGGGCAAACCACUGGGUGGACGGCCGCUCCAUCCCCGAGCUGGCGCCCAACCUUACAGGUCUUGUUCCAAAGCGGCAGCGCAAGCAGCGUACGGUAGCGGAUGGGCUCACCCACCGCGCCUGGGUUCGCGACAUUCUCGGCGCCCUCACGCCGGUCGCCAUCGUGGAAUAUAUCGACCUUUGGCGAUGCCUCAGCCGCAUGACCCUCAACGACCAGCCUGACAUCCUAUGGUGGCGGUGGACAGACAAUGGCACAUACUCCGCUAAAUCUUGCUACGCCGCCCUCUUCCAUGGGUCAGUCUGCGCUACCCAUUGGCAGCUGACUUGGCGAACCUGGGCUCCCCUCCGGAUCAAGUUCUCCGCAUGGCUUGCGCUUCAAGACCGUUGCUGGACGUCGGCCCGCCUUGCUCGCCAUGGCCUGCCGCAUCACCCACUUUGCUUAUUCUGCAACCAAGGCAUCGAAUCGAUGAAGCACCUGCUGGUUGCCUGCCCCAUCUCGCGGCAAAUUUGGCAUGACCUACUAGCCUGGUGCUACCCCGGUGCCACUGCGCCAUUGCCGACUGACAACUUCCAGGACUAG
rnacentral:rRNA from 1 species